CAGCCCUAUACAUGCAAGUCGAGCGGACAGAAGGGAGCUUGCUCCCGGAUGUUAGCGGCGGACGGGUGAGUAACACGUGGGUAACCUGCCUGUAAGACUGGGAUAACUCCGGGAAACCGGAGCUAAUACCGGAUAGUUCCUUGAACCGCAUGGUUCAAGGAUGAAAGACGGUUUCGGCUGUCACUUACAGAUGGACCCGCGGCGCAUUAGCUAGUUGGUGAGGUAACGGCUCACCAAGGCGACGAUGCGUAGCCGACCUGAGAGGGUGAUCGGCCACACUGGGACUGAGACACGGCCCAGACUCCUACGGGAGGCAGCAGUAGGGAAUCUUCCGCAAUGGACGAAAGUCUGACGGAGCAACGCCGCGUGAGUGAUGAAGGUUUUCGGAUCGUAAAGCUCUGUUGUUAGGGAAGAACAAGUGCAAGAGUAACUGCUUGCACCUUGACGGUACCUAACCAGAAAGCCACGGCUAACUACGUGCCAGCAGCCGCGGUAAUACGUAGGUGGCAAGCGUUGUCCGGAAUUAUUGGGCGUAAAGGGCUCGCAGGCGGUUUCUUAAGUCUGAUGUGAAAGCCCCCGGCUCAACCGGGGAGGGUCAUUGGAAACUGGGAAACUUGAGUGCAGAAGAGGAGAGUGGAAUUCCACGUGUAGCGGUGAAAUGCGUAGAGAUGUGGAGGAACACCAGUGGCGAAGGCGACUCUCUGGUCUGUAACUGACGCUGAGGAGCGAAAGCGUGGGGAGCGAACAGGAUUAGAUACCCUGGUAGUCCACGCCGUAAACGAUGAGUGCUAAGUGUUAGGGGGUUUCCGCCCCUUAGUGCUGCAGCUAACGCAUUAAGCACUCCGCCUGGGGAGUACGGUCGCAAGACUGAAACUCAAAGGAAUUGACGGGGGCCCGCACAAGCGGUGGAGCAUGUGGUUUAAUUUCGAAGCAACGCGAAGAACCUUACCAGGUCUUGACAUCCUCUUGAUACCUAGAGAUAGGGCUUUUCCCUUUCGGGGACAGAGUGGACAGGUGGUGCAUG
rnacentral:rRNA from 1 species